GCUGACGGCAGUCCUGGAGCAGAGAUCCAGCCUCGCUCCAGCGGGAUACACGCGCAGAUUUUAAUCAGGAGCGACAGCUAUGGAGCAGAGCUGUGUGCAGCACCUCUGAGACCUGUGCUCCUGCUGGUGCUCACACUUGCAUGGAGGAGGAGGCACUGAAGACAACAUCACCCAGUGUCUUUGCCAUGGCCCAGCCUGCAAACAUGAGUCAGUCUGACAGCAGUAUCAGCUUCCAAGACUUCAGUUAGAUUGACAUUCAUGAGCAGAAGAACCCUGAUCAGGCAGUGUGGAAACCUUCUGAAUGCACAAGGAGGAAAGAAAUCACUGAGGAGAGCAGUGAGAAUAAAGGAUGAGGCUUCAGUAAGUCAACAGAGAGAAGAAGAGGAAAUGCAAACAUCUGGAAGGCUGUUGUAAGUCUGCAAACUGGUGAUCAGGAAGAAGACGGGAAUGAAUAAUAGCAUAAGAAGAGAGAAAAUGACCAGAAAAGAAAUGAUAGAAUAAAAGGUAGGAGCUCUGUGGCCUUUCUCUCGCCCAGCAUGGAGGGAAUAUGUGUUUAAACGAGAUUCUGGGAGUCCGUGGACUUUCAGUUGAGAAUGGAGGUGAUGAAUGCCUUCCUUACUUCAAUUUUAUUGCACAGAAAAACAUUUUAUGCUUGAGUUUUCUGGCACCAGUUCCCGUGACUUUUGAGAAUGGGGUUGUGCAUUGAUCUGAAGGACACUGGCUGCCCUUGGUUAUGGUGUUUGAACUGAACUCUGCAUUGUUGUGGAGUAAUAGUAUGUGAAAAUUGACUACUCAUUUUAGAAUAAUAAACUGGGGCUGAGA